rnacentral:snoRNA from 1 species
AGUCGGCUGUGAGGACCAUCAUUCCGCUCAAUGCCGGUUCUGCUUCAGAAAAUUCUUAGAUUGAUAAGCUGAUUAAUAUCUGAGCCUUUU